rnacentral:miRNA from 2 species
UGUCAUGGAGUUGCUCUCUUUU